UCGGUCUGGCGGCGAGUGGCGAACGGGUGAGUAAUGUAUCGGAACGUGCCCAGUAGCGGGGGAUAACUACUCGAAAGAGUAGCUAAUACCGCAUACGCCCUACGGGGGAAAGGGGGGGAUCGCAAGACCUCUCACUAUUGGAGCGGCCGAUAUCGGAUUAGCUAGUUGGUGAGGUAAAGGCUCACCAAGGCGACGAUCCGUAGCUGGUUUGAGAGGACGACCAGCCACACUGGGACUGAGACACGGCCCAGACUCCUACGGGAGGCAGCAGUGGGGAAUUUUGGACAAUGGGGGCAACCCUGAUCCAGCCAUCCCGCGUGUGCGAUGAAGGCCUUCGGGUUGUAAAGCACUUUUGGCAGGAAAGAAAUCGCAUGGAUUAAUACUCUGUGUGGAUGACGGUACCUGCAGAAUAAGCACCGGCUAACUACGUGCCAGCAGCCGCGGUAAUACGUAGGGUGCAAGCGUUAAUCGGAAUUACUGGGCGUAAAGCAUGCGCAGGCGGUUCGGAAAGAAAGAUGUGAAAUCCCUGGGCUUAACCUUGGAACUGCAUUUUUAACUCCCGAGCUAGAGUGCGUCAGAGGGGGGUGGAAUUCCGCGUGUAGCAGUGAAAUGCGUAGAUAUGCGGAGGAACACCGAUGGCGAAGGCAGCCCCCUGGGAUGACACUGACUCUCAUGCACGAAAGCGUGGGGAGCAAACAGG
rnacentral:rRNA from 1 species